UCCCCAAAUAUCAAUACCCACCAAACCUCCAAAACUCCAUCGAUAUUCCCAAAGCCUUGUUGUCUUCUUUGCCAUACCAUAAGAAAAAGUACCCAGAUCUGAAAAUUGGGUUUGAGUUAAUGUUUUAGAUCUGAAAAUUUCCCAGAAAAACUUUAUGGAUGAAAUAUUGGAUGGUUUUAUAGUGCUUGAAAUCCGGUUGCUUUGAUUCCCAAAUCGCACCUCGACUUCUCGACUGCUUGAAGGGAAAGCUAAACCCAAAUUCACCUCGACUGCUUGAAGCCAAAAAUUGGGAAAAGACGAAAGUCAAAGUUUGCAACUGAAAUAACAAUACAAAUAGCAGAUUUGUCGAACUGUAGAAUUCUUUGUUUACUGGUAGUGUAAGAAGAAAUCAUUAUUGGUAGCUGAGGAGAAAUUGUUGUUGGUAGCUAAGGAAAAAAUUGUUAUUGAUUCAGGCGUAGCUGGUCCCGCUCCCGAGUGUUGAUCAUC